AGAGUUUGAUCAUGGCUCAGAUUGAACGCUGGCGGCAGGCCUAACACAUGCAAGUCGAGCGGUAGCACAGAGAGCUUGCUCUCGGGUGACGAGCGGCGGACGGGUGAGUAAUGUCUGGGAAACUGCCUGAUGGAGGGGGAUAACUACUGGAAACGGUAGCUAAUACCGCAUAACGUCGCAAGACCAAAGUGGGGGACCUUCGGGCCUCAUGCCAUCAGAUGUGCCCAGAUGGGAUUAGCUAGUAGGUGGGGUAACGGCUCACCUAGGCGACGAUCCCUAGCUGGUCUGAGAGGAUGACCAGCCACACUGGAACUGAGACACGGUCCAGACUCCUACGGGAGGCAGCAGUGGGGAAUAUUGCACAAUGGGCGCAAGCCUGAUGCAGCCAUGCCGCGUGUGUGAAGAAGGCCUUCGGGUUGUAAAGCACUUUCAGCGGGGAGGAAGGCGNNNNNNNNCGAUUGACGUUACCCGCAGAAGAAGCACCGGCUAACUCCGUGCCAGCAGCCGCGGUAAUACGGAGGGUGCAAGCGUUAAUCGGAAUUACUGGGCGUAAAGCGCACGCAGGCGGUCUGUCAAGUCGGAUGUGAAAUCCCCGGGCUCAACCUGGGAACUGCAUUCGAAACUGGCAGGCUAGAGUCUUGUAGAGGGGGGUAGAAUUCCAGGUGUAGCGGUGAAAUGCGUAGAGAUCUGGAGGAAUACCGGUGGCGAAGGCGGCCCCCUGGACAAAGACUGACGCUCAGGUGCGAAAGCGUGGGGAGCAAACAGGAUUAGAUACCCUGGUAGUCCACGCCGUAAACGAUGUCGAUUUGGAGGUUGUGCCCUUGAGGCGUGGCUUCCGGAGCUAACGCGUUAAAUCGACCGCCUGGGGAGUACGGCCGCAAGGUUAAAACUCAAAUGAAUUGACGGGGGCCCGCACAAGCGGUGGAGCAUGUGGUUUAAUUCGAUGCAACGCGAAGAACCUUACCUGGUCUUGACAUCCACAGAACUUUCCAGAGAUGGAUUGGUGCCUUCGGGAACUGUGAGACAGGUGCUGCAUGGCUGUCGUCAGCUCGUGUUGUGAAAUGUUGGGUUAAGUCCCGCAACGAGCGCAACCCUUAUCCUUUGUUGCCAGCGGUUCGGCCGGGAACUCAAAGGAGACUGCCAGUGAUAAACUGGAGGAAGGUGGGGAUGACGUCAAGUCAUCAUGGCCCUUACGACCAGGGCUACACACGUGCUACAAUGGCAUAUACAAAGAGAAGCGACCUCGCGAGAGCAAGCGGACCUCAUAAAGUAUGUCGUAGUCCGGAUUGGAGUCUGCAACUCGACUCCAUGAAGUCGGAAUCGCUAGUAAUCGUAGAUCAGAAUGCUACGGUGAAUACGUUCCCGGGCCUUGUACACACCGCCCGUCACACCAUGGGAGUGGGUUGCAAAAGAAGUAGGUAGCUUAACCUUCGGGAGGGCGCUUACCACUUUGUGAUUCAUGACUGGGGUGAAGUCGUAACAAGGUAACCGUAGGGGAACCUGCGGUUGGAUCACCU
rnacentral:rRNA from 1 species